rnacentral:rRNA from 1 species
GAUGAAAGCGGGGGAGUGCCUAACACAUGCAAGUCGAGCGGCAGCACGAGUAGUUUAUUACUUGGUGGCGAGCGGCGGACGGCUGAGCAACGCGUGGGAACGUGCCCCAAAGUGAGGAAUAACUGCCCGAAAGGGUAGCUAAUGCCGCAUAUGAUCUUCGGAUUAAAGUAUUUAUUACGCUUUGGGAGCGGCCCGCGUCCGAUUAGGUAGUUGGUGAGGUAAAGGCUCACCAAGCCCACGAUCGGUAGCUGGUCUGAGAGGAUGACCAGCCAGACUGGAACUGAGACACGGUCCAGACUCCUACGGGAGGCAGCAGUGAGGAAUCUUCCACAACGGACGAAAGUCUGAUGGAGCAACUCCGCGUGCAGGAUGAAGGCCUUCGGGUCGUAAACUGCUUUUAUGAGUGAAGAAUAUGA